AGGAAAUGUUGGUCAGGUCAGAGUUUGUGAAUCCUUGGCAGCAGUUAAUGCAAUUCUUCUACGUAUUUAACAACUUCGCUCAUCAAAGUUAGGUUAGUAAGAGACCGCUCAGAUCCAUCAUAUUAUGCUUGUAAGUAUUAGUCCAUAACUUCAUAGUGUAAAAAUCCUUGGAGGAUGAAGUGCCCAUCAUCUGAUGGAGUUCGUGAGAUUUGUUUAUGCCAUGCAGGGUGGAGGCUUUCAUGCGGUGGACCACAUCGGAAAUUUAGCCCGGCGGCGCAUGAAUUGGAUUAGGAUCGGCAGGCAGAAGGUCCUCUCCCUGGACAAGUGCACGGCAUUGCGGCCAUGGAGCUGUUGGGCCAUGACCAAAAGGAAACGGGAGGAAAGGCAGAGGGAUAUCGACUAUUCCUGUUUUAUGGCUUUUCAGGCGUUUAGGGAUUUUUUCCCCUCCAGGGAGCUAGGCGCCUGUGAUCAGAUAGUCGACACUUGGUGCCGCUACCACGAUGAUCAGUACCAGUGCACCGGCAUGGACCGACACACCAACCAGAUCAUCUCACUCUGGGAAUGCGUCCACAACAUCGAUAUAGGGUUUCCACAACACUAGUACCAGCUCAACGGUUGGAUCCUAACGCAUCCGCAACGUCUGUACUGACGUGCCGAGGAAAAACGUCGUAUGAACCUUCAGAGGUUGUCAAAUUUCCUUCGAUAAAACACGCGUUCCCCGGUAAACUUAUAAAUAUUUUUCUUCCAAUUUUUCAGAUAAUUUUGUUCGCAAUUUCACCCAAAAUUCCUGAAAAUUUCAGGAAAAACAUUCAUAACCUCCCACUAAAAUAAAAAUUUUAGUGAAGGAAAUUUGAUAACUCUCGGAUGUUACGACGUAUUCCCUUAGCACGGCAGCGCAAGUUACCAGUACAGAGAAAAUAGAGUCCCUAUUGAAUAGGGAAAGAAGUGUGUACCCGCCAGAUCUUCCCGCGCUUUUUUCCGCGCCAGAUCAGACAACCGACGACAAUUUUUUCAUUUCUUAAGGACAAUCAAAACCAUCUAUUCCUUUCAAAUUCCGGGAAUUUUUUCAGCAAAAAAAUGUUCGCGAAUGACUUCUCGAGAUUUUGGCGUUUCUAUUGAUGUAUGCUAGUUCUACUUUCUCCAAAAAACACCAAAGAUUAGAUUUAGAUCUAAUCAAAUUUGAUCUGGGAUUUUAGAUUUUCAAUUUUCUUCCACUUGGGUCGAUGUUCUCGAGUGACCCGUCAGCUCUUUAGUCAAAAACAUCGACUCGAGUGGGGGAAAAUUAAAAUUUCAAAAAUCAAGGUCUGUGGUGUUUUUUCAAGAGAACAGAACGUAACAUCAAUAAAACCGCCAAACGCUCGAGAAUAGUCAAUCAUGAACACUUUAAUGCCAACAAAUUCACUGAAUUCGAAAAUAAUAUAUAGUUUUGAUUCCCCAUGUUAUUUUCAAUAAGAAAUUAAACAAGCUGGUGUCUGCAAUCGCAGUGCGAUAGCAAUAUUCGUCAUGGGAACUUGAGAAAUGUUUGAUAAAUCAAUUAGCAUUGGGUGUACCAUUUUUAUGAUGGAUAUACCUAUUGGGAUCUGCUUUUGAUUUAGCAGAAGUCAAAACAUUUACCUAUGGCUGAUAAAAUUGCAGAAGUUGUUCCUUUUCUGCGGCAUGACGGUGAUUUUUUUUAUUUUCUUCUUUUAUUUAUUUUUUUCUAUUUUUCCAAGCUUCAUUGAUUUACUGUUCCGAUCUGAUGAUACCACUUUAUUGUCAAAGCAAAAACGCGAGGAACCUCUGAGGGGAAGACAAACGGCUGUACUAGCAGUAUUUUUAAUAAUUUGUCUUAAUUUUUAAUUACUAGUAUUGCUGUUCCGACUUUGCAUGUACAUUGCCAUUCAAAGUUUGUUGAACUGUUUUCCGUCUGACGCUAUUUUUUGGAGGCCAUUAUUUUUUUUAUUUUGAAAGAAAUCUGGGCCUUAUCAUAAAGUAUUUGAAUUUUCUUGACUUUCUUUCUUUCCUUUUUCAUUUUUCGUAUUUAAUUUUUUCGGAUGCGUGUUUGUGUCAAUCAGUAUUUAGCUGAAAUAAGUUCUAAUUAUAUGUGUAAACUUUUGAAUCUUUUUUUUUUUUUUAAAGCUUUAUAAGAUAUUUAGAGAUACAUAGACAUAUUACAGAUGGUAUAAAUUAAAUACAUUAUUGAUCUUAAGAUUAAAAGAACUAAUCUAAUGAAGCGCCGGAACCGCCUGUGGGCAUUACAUCGGGGGGUUUGGGGGCAGAGUUAUUACUAUUAUUACCAACUAUCUUAUAAGUUUUAGCUGUAGAUUCUAAAAUGUCCUUAAUAUACUUGUAACCUAGUUUCCAAUUAUUUCUAUUAUGUAACAUUAAUUCUAAUAGAUUAUUUGCA
rnacentral:lncRNA from 1 species